GUACAGGGUAGCCUAGUGGAUGUGGCAUCUGCCCGGUAAGCGGAACAUUGUGGGUUCGAUUACCAUCCCUGAACA
rnacentral:tRNA from 1 species